rnacentral:rRNA from 1 species
AUGAACGCUGGCGGCGUGCCUAAUACAUGCAAGUCGAGCGAACAGACGAGGAGCCUGCUCCUCUGACGUUAGCGGCGGACGGGUGAGUAACACGUGGAUAACCUACCUAUAAGACUGGGAUAACUUCGGGAAACCGGAGCUAAUACCGGAUAAUAUAUUGAACCGCAUGGUUCAAUAGUGAAAGACGGUUUUGCUGUCACUUGUAGAUGGAUCCGCGCCGCAUUAGCUAGUUGGUAAGGUAACGGCUUACCAAGGCAACGAUGCGUAGCCGACCUGAGAGGGUGAUCGGCCACACUGGAACUGAGACACGGUCCAGACUCCUACGGGAGGCAGCAGUAGGGAAUCUUCCGCAACGGGCGAAAGCCUGACGGAGCAACGCCGCGUGAAUGAUGAAGGUCUUCGGAUCGUAAAACUCUGUUAUUAGGGAAGAACAAAUGUGUAAGUAACUAUGCACGUCUUGACGGUACCUAAUCAGAAAGCCACGGCUAACUACGUG